ensembl:lncRNA
UGUAUUCACGCCCCUCUGGUGCGCUGUAGGGGUUUAAGCUCCUUUAGGCUGCUCUGUUCAUUUGUUUUGUCCCUGUAGGUUUUUGUUUUUUUUUUUCUGGGGCUGGUUCACAAGUCUUACGAGGAGAGACUGGGGUUGUUUAGUCUGGGGAAGAGGAGGCGCAGGGCAGACCGCGCUGCUCUCUGAAAAUACCUGAAAGGGAGGUGUGGGGAGCUGGGGGUCGGCCUCUUCCCACAGAUAACCAGUGACAGGACCAGAGGGAACGGCCUCAAGUUGUGCCAGGGGAGGUUCGGGUUGGAAACGAGGAGACAUUUCUGCUCAGAAAGAGCAGUCAGGCGUUGGGACGGGUUGCCCAGGGAGGUGGUGGCGUCACCGUCCCUGGGGGUGUUCAAGGAAAGGUUGGACGUGGUGCUUGGGGACAUGGGUUAGCGGUGACAUUGGUGGUAGGGGGGUGGUUGGACCAGGUGAGCUUGGAGGUCUCCUCCGACCUUAACGAUUCUAUGAUUCUGUGAAAUCAUGUGGUGACAAAACACCCUGUGUAAGGGCCGUGAGGUGCUUGGGGUAAAAAGUUAACAAAAUGCACGUGUGUCACGGAGAACUUGGCCUUCCUGAUGGAUGCUGGGUCAGGCCAUAAAGGCGUGUUCGGGAUGGUAGCUUUGUAAGUCAGAGCCUCCCUGCUCCUUCCCUUUUAGAGCACACGAUGCUGGUAGGGUGAUGUUGUGCUUGGCCAGAAAAUGGCAGUGAGGCAGGGCCAUGUUGCCAGAAGGACAGACGGACAUCAGUGGGACCAAAGCAGAGGCUGCCCGAGCCCCCAGGCCCCUCAGGCAGGGGUCUCAAUGGACGGAGAAAUCAGAGACAAAACUGGGGAUAAGGAACGUGGCCAAGCGGUGUCGUGGUCUGACACCGCAGCCCUGCAAAGUGGGGCUUGGUGCAAAUUGGGAAUUCAGAAGAGCAAAACCGACAGGAGGUUUGGCCUCAAGAUCCCGAGUUUUGACUUGGCAGCGUAGGCAGAACCUGGCAGAGGCGCCGAUCUGAAGGCUCCUCUGUGUGGGGAAUUGCCUCAGAUUUGUGUCAGCUCUUCCUUUUCCAUCAGCCAGGGACGUGGACUUCUUCUCCACACUCGGAUGCCCUACCACACCUGGCUACAAAGGCUGGCCAGAAAUCAGUGUCCUGCUGUGCUUAAAAAGCACCAGCCCUUUGCAAAUCUCCUCUUCCCAUUCUGUUUUCUGCAUCGCCGCGGUUAAGUCUGUGCCAUUUUCCAAGUGCUGACUGCAGGGCUGGUAGGUGGAAGAAGCUGCUGCCUGCGUGGGUGUAUCUGAUAUGUCACCACUGAAUGCUUGUGACAUCCACCGCUGCCCUGCUGAUUGAUUUUGGCAGUUUCUAACAAGUCGCUGCAGCUUCUGCUUUGUAGCCUGCAGGUGGAAAGAGUGCGAAAGCAGCGUGCGGAGAGACCAGGGGCAGACAGAUGGAGAAGGUGCUGCAAGAAGGCGGCUUUCCCUUUGAAAGUGCUUCAUCCCAAGCCCUUUCUGGCCUUGAGAAGGAUGUGCAGGUGGGGGACGAGGGUCAGACCGUGCACCCCCGUGAGCUGUGGUGCAGCUGCUGCCUCUGGAGGUGCACGGUUCGGGCAUUCCCACCCCUCACAAGCUGGGCACGUACACGUUGGCGGUGGAGAGUUUUGGGCACAGUCUAAGCUGCUGCAGUGCGACAGCAAAGUGAGGAUCGGCAGGAUUAAAGGUCAACAACGGGAAGUUUUGAAGAAGCUAAAUAAUGUAUGCUCUGCAUGACAGCAUCCCACUGUGUUCUGCGCAGCGUGCGUGGUAGCGAAGCGCAGAGCCUUCCGAGAGCUGUCAGGUGGACUUGGCUUCAGCGGGCACGAGGAGGGACGUGGGGCUGCCUUCAGGCUGACUGCAUGCAGGAGGAGAGGCCGAGGGGAUGGAGCAGGAGUUCUGGCAGGAGCUGAACCGAGGAACACUAGAUCUUGUGCUGUUUUAACACAGAGACCCCUCUGGGCUUCACCUUGGAGGGUGCAUCCCGG